CCUCUCUAACCUCUGUGUUAAGUCUGUCUGGUUCUAGGCCGAUUCAGGUUUUUUGUUUUGUUUUUGCUUCCACUCUGUUUGAUUUAAGCGUGGUGGUCAGAUCCUCUUCAGAUGUCCAGUUGAGACACCUACCCAUUUCUUCUCUUUUUAUCUCUUGAGAGGAGAGGAUAGGAUGCUAACUAGCGAAGUACUAUACUACUACUACAUUUCAAACCAUAAUAAGGUCCUUCGGUAAAAACAAAACAAGAUUUGCAGCGUCGCAGUAGCAAAAUUCCAGCAUCCACUAGCCACACAAAAAAGUAUGUAUCCAGUGAUAAUAUAACGAGAGAGGAAUUCAAUGAUUAGUUUAUUAUUAACCUAUGUAGUGUAUGCACUGGUAGUUGAUGGAGUUUCAAGCAGCAAGCAUGGAGCACCUUCUUCUUUCUAUCAUGUCACUUACCUGAUAAUUUUGGUAAUUCUCUCCGUAAUGUCAUUCAUAUACCUGAUAAAGCCAAUUUCUUUGGGGCUCUCUGUCAUUCAUAUGUUCAGUGAUGCAAUCUGAAUUAUUAUGUAGAGGUUACUCCAGUCCUCACUAUUCUUCUAUUUGUCCCUGUUUAGUGUUUUACUUUUUUUUAUCAGCAGCACAAUAGAUAACCAUAUCUACAUUUGUCUCUAUUUUCUGUCAGGUUAGGCAACAGGAUGGCAGUCACAGGAGCCAUUGCAUUUUCUUUGUCGCAAUGGCAUUAGGUAGUUGUACCUACUGCGGUUGUUACACUAAUAUCUAUUUAUUACAUGUUGCUAUAGUUACAAAGCUUCAACAGCUUACUAUAAAUUAGACUGGUUUGAUUCCUAGAUAUUAUUGUAUUUUACCCGUAGGAUCAAUUUCCAAUGAGUUGGUGCCUAGGGUCUUGUGGGGAGCACAUUUUCUUUAGCUGCUGCCAUUUAUUCUGCUGCUUUCGUACAACCUAGCACUCUUCUGUGGUGGGCAUAUGUUAUUUUGUACCAAUGAUAGAUACAGAAAGUGCAAGACUUCUACUCUCUACUUAAUGAACUGAUUUUGCUUCAGGAUAACUAGCUUGAUUAAUUAGCAUGUUUCUGUGAUCAAUGAAUUACUAAGGUUGUGACCCCAGCUUGGAGGCUUGAGUUCCUUCCGUAGUUCUUUAUUUUACUUAAAUGAUCAUGAACCCUUUACUUAACAUAUGUCCUUUUGUACCUUAGCAAAGGGUCUCGCCACCGCGCGCAGUCCACCUCUCCCCGCAGGCAUGCCGGCCACCUCCCCACCUGAUGCACAUCUUUCCCAUGGGGCCAUGGAACACGGUGAGCAGCAGUG
rnacentral:rRNA from 1 species